GACGAACGCUGGCGGCGUGCUUAACACAUGUAAGUCGAACGGCAAGGCCCUGCUUUUGUGGGGUGCUCGAGUGGCGAACGGGUGAGUAACACGUGAGUAACCUGCCCUUGACUUUGGGAUAACUUCAGGAAACUGGGGCUAAUACCGGAUAGGAGCUCCUGCUGCCUGGUGGGGGUUGGAAAGUUUCGGCGGUUGGGGUUGGAAUCGCGGCUUAUCAGUUUGUUGGUGGGGUAGUGGCUUACCAGGGCUUUGAAGGGUAGUCGGCCUGGGAGGGUGACCAGCCAUAUUGUGGCUGUGUAACGGCCCAGACUCCUACGGGAGGCAGCGGUGGGGAAUAUUGUUCAAUGGACGGAAGCCUGAUGCAGCAACGCCGCGUUCGGGAAGACGGCCUUCGGGUUUUAAACCGCUUUCGCCUAUGACGAAGCGUGAGUGACGGUAAUGGGUAAAGAAGCACCGGCUAACUACGUG
rnacentral:rRNA from 1 species